GAUGAACGCUAGCGGGAGGCCUAAUACAUGCAAGUCGAGCGGUAGAGUGACUUCGGUUGCUUGAGAGCGGCGAACGGGUGAGUAACGCGUACACAAUCUACCUUUAAGAGGGGAAUAGCCCUGGGAAACUGGGAUUAAUGCCCCAUGGCAUCACGAAGUGGCAUCGCUUUGUGAUUAAAGCUGAGGUGCUUAGAGAUGAGUGUGCGUCUGAUUAGCUAGUUGGUGCGGUAACGGCGCACCAAGGCGACGAUCAGUAGGGGGCGUGAGAGCGUGGACCCCCACACGGGUACUGAGACACGGACCCGACUCCUACGGGAGGCAGCAGUAAGGAUAUGGUCAAUGGAGGAAACUCUGAACCAGCCAUCCCGCGUGCAGGAAGAAUGCCCUAUGGGUUGUAAACUGCUUUUAUCUGGGAAGAAAGUCGGGAUUUAUCCUGAUCUGACGGUACCAGAGGAAUAAGCACCGGCUAACUCCGUGCCAGCAGCCG
rnacentral:rRNA from 1 species